AAUUUUAUUUUACUUUUUAUAAAAAAAAAAUAUUUUAAAUAAAUAUUAAAUACAUUUUAAUACCAUCUGAAAAGAAUAAAAAAAUUUUUAAUAAGAAUUUCGUUUAUCCUUUAGUAUCAGGAAAAUUUAAAAUUUCAUAGCUAAAUUAUAUUCCCGAAAUUAUAUGAUCUAUUUAUUAUAAUAUUAUAUGUUAUAAAAUAUAAAUAAAAUAAAAAAUAGCAACUAAACAUUAUUCGAAUAUAAUAAUAUCUGGUUUUCUUUAAAAAAUUAAUCUUAAUUUAUAAUUUAUAUUAUAAUAUAUAAAAUUAUUAUAAAUUUUACUAUUAUUAAAUAAAUAUUAAAAGUUUUUAUAAAGUUUAACAACUAAAAUAUUUAUAUACUAAUAUAUUCAUAUUAGAAAUAACUUAUAAUUAUUAAUAUAAUAAAUAUAUAAAUAGAUAUUAAUUUUAAAAUUAAAAAUUAGUCUAAAUUUAAAUGACUGUUUAUCAAAAACAUUUCUAUUAGACUUUUAUUAAUAGUAAGAUCUGCUCAAUGAUAAUUAAAUAGCCGCAAUACGUGCUAAGGUAGCAUAAUAACUCGUCUUCUAAUUAAGGACUAGAACAAAAGAUUUAACAUUUUAAAUUAUUUUACUAAUUAAUAUAUCAAAAUUUUCUUAGAUGUUAAAAGACAUUUAUUCUAAAGAAAGACGACAAGACCCUAUUGAAUUUUACUUUAGUUAAACUGGGGCAGUUAUAUAAUUAUUAUUUUAAUAAAAUUAUUUUAUUAAAUAUCUAAUCAUAUUAAAUAAUUAAGUUACCAUAGGGAUAACAGCGUAAUUAUAAACUAAAGUUCUCAUAACAAUUAUAGAUUGCGACCUCGAUGUUGAAUUAUUAACCUAAAUAGGGCAAGACUUAAUUAAAGGAGGUCUGUUCGACCUUUAAAUAAAUACAUGAUUUGAGUUCAGACCGGUGUAAGCCAGGUCGGUUUCUAUCUUCUAAAUAUAAUUCUGUAGUACGAAAGGACCUAGAAAUUAAAUUUAAUUU
rnacentral:rRNA from 1 species